UACGGGGGGGGCAAGCGUUAUUCUACGUUACUGGGUGUAAAAAGUUUUAAGGUUGUUUGGUAAGUUUCUUUUUAAAUUUUAAAUUCACAUUUAUUAAUGAAAGUUUAUACUGCCAAACUUUGAGUCUAACAGGAGAUAGUUGUACAUUUAGUGGAGGAGUAGAAUCCAUAGAUAUUAAAGGGACAAUCAAUAGGCGAAGGCUACUAUCUAGGUUAGCACUGACACUGAGAUACAAAAGCGUGAGGAGCAAACAGG
rnacentral:rRNA from 1 species